rnacentral:SRP_RNA from 1 species
UGAGCUUGUAACCCGAGUGGGGGCUUUGAGGUGCUGGAACAUUGUCCCAGUAUUAGCUGGUCGGGUUCGGGUUGGCUAUCUUCUGGCUCGCCCAUUCCAAGCCAGGAGUUGAACCCUGUGGCAUGAGCGAAGGCCCUGGGUCACUGGGUUUCUAGAGUGGAGGGCACUGCGUAAGGCUGGCUUCACAGAGCAACGACUACCUCUCGCUCUUGGCAGUGGAAGGAUAACGGGUCGGUGCCAAUCGGAUC